UGAAUACGAGAUGCUACGGCGUCGAAGCAGUGUAUGUCAGACUUCCAAGAAAAGCUCGCAAUGUCAUAAAUAAAGAAUGCCUGUACCAUAACCGACACAGGUGGGUAGGUAGAGUAUACUAAGGGGCGCGAGAUAACUCUCUCUAAGGAACUCGGCAAAAUAACUCCGUAACUUCGGGAGAAGGAGUGCCUUCUUUAAGAAGGUUGCAAUAACAAGAUCCAAGCAACUGUUUAUCAAAAACACAGGUCUCCGCUAAGUCGUAAGACGAUGUAUGGGGGCUGACGCCUGCCCAGUGCCAGAAGGUUAAAGAAGUUGGUUAGCUUUUGCGAAGCUGAUGACUGAAGCCCUGGUGAACGGCGGCCGUAACAAUAACGGUCCUAAGGUAGCGAAAUUCCUUGUCGGGUAAGUUCCGACCCGCACGAAAGGCGUAAUGAUUUGGAUACUGUCUCGGAGAGGGACUCGGUGAAAUAGACUUGUCUGUGAAGAUGCGGACUACCUGCACCAGGACAGAAAGACCCUAUGAAGCUUUACUGUAACUUGAAAUUGAAAUUGGACUUUAUUUGCGCAGUAUAGGUGGAAGGCGUUGAAAGUAAUCUUGCGGGAUUAGUGGAGCCAUCAGUGAGAUACCACUCCUAUAAUGUUAGAUUUCUAACUUUGGAUCAUGAUCUGGUCAAAGAACAGUUUCAGGCGGGCAGUUUGACUGGGGCGGUCGCCUCCCAAAUGGUAACGGAGGCGUACAAAGGUUUCCUCUGAACGGGUAGAAAUCGUAUCUAGAGUGUAAAGGCAUAAGGAAGCUUGACUGUGAGACCUACAAGUCGAGCAGGGACGAAAGUCGGUCUUAGUGAUCUGACGGUGCUGAGUGGAAAGGCCGUCACUCAACGGAUAAAAGUUACUCUAAGGAUAACAGGCUGAUCUCCCCCAAGAGUUCACAUCGACGGGGAGGUUUGGCACCUCGAUGUCGGCUCAUCGCAUCCUGGGGCGGUAGUACGUCCCAAGGGUUGGGCUGUUCGCCCAUGAAAGCGGUACGCGAGCUGGGUUCAGAACGUCGUGAGACAGUUCGGUCCAUAUCCGGUGUAGGCGUUAGAAUAUUGAGAGGAGCCUUCUUUAGUACGAGAGGACCGAGAAGGACAUACCUCUGGUGUACAGUUAUCGUGCCAACGGUAAACGCUGGGUAGCUAUGUAUGGAGAGGAUAACCGCUGAAAGCAUCUAAGUGGGAAGCCCACCUCAAGAUGAGUAUUCUCAU
rnacentral:rRNA from 1 species